rnacentral:rRNA from 1 species
CAGUCGCCGCGGUAACACGUAGGGUGCAAGCGUUAAUCGGAAUUACUGGGCGUAAAGCGUGCGCAGGCGGUGUUGUAAGACUGAUGUGAAAUCCCCGGGCUCAACCUGGGAACUGCAUUGGUGACUGCAACGCUGGAGUGCGGCAGAGGGGGAUGGAAUUCCGCGUGUAGCAGUGAAAUGCGUAGAUAUGCGGAGGAACACCGAUGGCGAAGGCAAUCCCCUGGGCCUGUACUGACGCUCAUGCACGAAAGCGUGGGGAGCAAACAGGAUUAGAUACCCCUGUAGUCUGUCUCUUAUACAC